GCUGGGUUUAGAACGUCGUGAGACAGUUCGGUCCCUAUCUGCCAUGGGCGUUGGAGAUUUGAGGGGAGCUGCUCCUAGUACGAGAGGACCGGAGUGGACGUACCUCUGGUGUUCCGGUUGUCACGCCAGUGGCAUCGCCGGGUAGCUAUGUACGGACGGGAUAACCGCUGAAAGCAUCUAAGCGGGAAGCCCACCCCAAGAUGAGAUCUCCCUGGACCCUCGAGGUCCCUGAAGGUCCGUCGAAGACGACGACGUUGAUAGGCUGGGUGUGUAAGCGCAGCAAUGCGUUCAGCUAACCAGUACUAAUUGACCGUGAGGUUUGACCAU
rnacentral:rRNA from 1 species